rnacentral:rRNA from 1 species
UACGGGGGGAGCAAGCGUUGUUCGGAUUUACUGGGCGUAAAGGGCGCGUAGGCGGCGCAACAAGUCACUUGUGAAAUCUCCGAGCUUAACUCGGAACGGUCAACUGAUACUGUGUGGCUAGAGUGCGGAAGGGGCAACUGGAAUUCUUGGUGUAGCGGUGAAAUGCGUAGAUAUCAAGAGGAACACCUGCGGCGAAGGCGGGUUGCUGGGCCGACACUGACGCUGAGGCGCGAAAGCUAGGGGAGCGAACGGG